rnacentral:rRNA from 1 species
GACAGAGGGUGCAAACGUUGUUCGGAAUUACUGGGCGUAAAGCGCGUGUAGGCGGCCCUGUAAGUCGGGGGUGAAAUCCCACGGCUCAACCGUGGAAGUGCAUUCGAAACUACAGGGCUAGAGUUCUGGAGAGGAAGGUGGAAUGCUUGGUGUAGAGGUGAAAUUCGUAGAUAUCAAGCGGAACACCGGUGGCGAAGGCGGCCUUCUGGACAGUAACUGACGCUGAGACGCGAAAGCGUGGGGAGCAAACAGG